AGAACGAACGCUGGCGGCAUGCCUAACACAUGCAAGUCGAACGAGACCUUCGGGUCUAGUGGCGCACGGGUGCGUAACGCGUGGGAAUCUACCCUUGGGUUCGGAAUAACAGUUGGAAACGACUGCUAAUACCGGAUGAUGACGUAAGUCCAAAGAUUUAUCGCCCAGGGAUGAGCCCGCGUAGGAUUAGCUAGUUGGUGAGGUAAAGGCUCACCAAGGCGACGAUCCUUAGCUGGUCUGAGAGGAUGAUCAGCCACACUGGGACUGAGACACGGCCCAGACUCCUACGGGAGGCAGCAGGUGGGGAAUAUUGGACAAUGGGCGAAAGCCUGAUCCAGCAAUGCCGCGUGAGUGAUGAAGGCCUUAGGUUGUAAAGUCUCUUUUACCCGGGAAGAUAAUGACUGUACGGAGAAUAAGCUCCGGACAACUCCGUGCCGGCAGCCGC
rnacentral:rRNA from 1 species